rnacentral:rRNA from 1 species
GAUGAACGCUGGCGGCGUGCCUAAUACAUGCAAGUCGAGCGAACAGAUGAGGAGCUUGCUGUUCUGACGUUAGCGGCGGACGGGUGAGUAACACGUGGAUAACCUAUCUAUAAGACUGGGAUAACUUCGAGAAACCGGAGUUCAUACCGGAUAAUAUAUCGAACCGCAUGGUUCAAUAGUGAAUGACGGUUUUGCUGUCACUUCUAGAUGGAUCCGCGCCGCAUUAGCUAGUUGGUAAGGUAACGGCUUACCAAGGCGACGAUGCGUAGCCGACCUGAGAGGGGGAAGGGCCACACUGGGACUGAGACGCGGUCCAGGCUCUUACGUGAGGCAGCAGUAGCGAAGCGACCGCAAUGGGCGGAAGCCUGACGGAGCGGCGGCGGGUGAGUGAUGAAGGGCUGCGGGUCGUAUGACUCUGUUAGUAGUGAAGAACGAAUGUGUAAGUAACUAUGCUCGUCUUGACGGUAGCUGAUAAGAAAGCCACGGCUAACUACGUG